rnacentral:rRNA from 1 species
GGCCUAACACAUGCAAGUCGAGCGGAUGAGGGAAGCUUGCUUCCCAAUUUAGCGGCGGACGGGUGAGUAAUGCCUAGGAAUCUGCCUAUUAGUGGGGGAUAACGUUCCGAAAGGAACGCUAAUACCGCAUACGUCCUACGGGAGAAAGUGGGGGAUCUUCGGACCUCACGCUAAUAGAUGAGCCUAGGUCGGAUUAGCUAGUUGGUGGGGUAACGGCUCACCAAGGCGACGAUCCGUAGCUGGUCUGAGAGGAUGAUCAGCCACACUGGAACUGAGACACGGUCCAGACUCCUACGGGAGGCAGCAGUGGGGAAUAUUGGACAAUGGGCGAAAGCCUGAUCCAGCCAUGCCGCGUGUGUGAAGAAGGUCUUCGGAUUGUAAAGCACUUUAAGUUGGGAGGAAGGGUUGUAAGCUAAUAUCUUGCAGCUUUGACGUUACCAACAGAAUAAGCACCGGCUAACUCUGUGCCAGCAGCCGCGGUAAUACAGAGGGUGCAAGCGUUAAUCGGAAUUACUGGGCGUAAAGCGCGCGUAGGCGGCUUAGUAAGUUGGAUGUGAAAGCCCCGGGCUCAACCUGGGAACUGCAUCCAAAACUGCUUGGCUAGAGUACAGUAGAGGGUGGUGGA